GAUGAAGAACGCAGUGAAAUGCGAUAAGUAAUGUGAAUUGCAGAAUUCAGUGAACCAUCGAAUCUUUGAACGCACAUUGCGCCCGCCAGCAUUCUGGCGGGCAUGCCUGUUCGAGCGUCAUUUCAACCCUCGACCUCCCCUUGGGGAGGUCGGCGUUGGGGACCGGCAGCACACCGCCGGCCCUGAAAUGGAGUGGCGGCCCGUCCGCGGCGACCUCUGCGCAGUAAUACAGCUCGCACCGGGACCCCGACGCGGCCACGCCGUAAAACACCCAACUUCUGAACGUUGACCUCGAAUCAGGUAGGACUACCCGCUGAACUUAAGCAUAUCAAUAAGCGGAGGA
rnacentral:misc_RNA from 1 species